rnacentral:tRNA from 1 species
GGGGAUUUAGCUCAGCGGCAUAAGCGUCUGCCUUGCAAGCAGGCAGUCGUGAUUUCGAUCCCCA